CAAAGGUUGAUUCCGGUGGCGGAUGGGCAUGCGUCGCAUUAGUUAGUUGGCGGUGUAACGGACCACCAAGACGACGAUGCGUAGGGGUUCUGAGAGGAAGGUCCCCCACACUGGUACUGAGACACGGACCAGACUCCUACGGGAGGCAGCAGUGAGGAAUAUUGGUCAAUGGGCGGGAGCCUGAACCAGCCAAGUCGCGUGAGGGAUGACGGCCCUAUGGGUUGUAAACCUCUUUUGCCGGGGAGCAAAGUGCCGCACGUGUGCGGUUUGGAGAGUACCCGGAGAAAAAGCAUCGGCUAACUCCGUGCCAGCAGCCGCGGUAAUACGGAGGAUGCGAGCGUUAUCCGGAUUUAUUGGGUUUAAAGGGUGCGUAGGCGGACGCUUAAGUCAGCGGUAAAAUUGCGGGGCUCAACCUCGUCGAGCCGUUGAAACUGGGUGCCUUGAGUGGGCGAGAAGUACGCGGAAUGCGUGGUGUAGCGGUGAAAUGCAUAGAUAUCACGCAGAACUCCGAUUGCGAAGGCAGCGUACCGGCGCCCAACUGACGCUGAAGCACGAAGGCGUGGGUAUCGAACAGGACUAGAUACCCUGGUAGUCCACGCAGUAAACGAUGAAUGCUAGUUGUCCGGGGCGAUUGAGUUCUGG
rnacentral:rRNA from 1 species